GAAAGUUUAGUGAGAUAUUUGAGAGAGCUUAGAGAGAGAAAGUCCCAUCCUCUUCUUCCAUCAACCUUGGUCGCCACCUUCAUCCUUUCUUGUACCAUCAACACUUCAUUUUUCACUCUUGAGAUCUUGACUAAAGAGGUUUGGAGCACUCGUUGCACUCGGUAGCGAGGACUUGAGCUAGGAAGGAAAGCAUCAAAGGUUCGGCCAUUGCACUUUUCCCUUCUCUGACAGUUCUAUCGUCAAUACAUUCUUUGGUGUUGUUCAACAUCCUUCUUCAUUAGUCUUGUCAACUUGAUCUGGGUUUGCAAUUGACUCUGAUGAAUUUCAUUCCAGCAUGCUUAUUUUAUAUGGAGGAAAAAAAGCAUGAAGGAUGGUUAACCACUUUCAUGGUAUGCGACAUUUGAGGGUGGUUCACCACUUUCAUGAUACCUUACAAUAAGCUUCUGAUAAAGUUCAUUUUGUUGUUUUGGCAUAGUUAAUUGCUUUUGUUUUUUUUUUUUGACAUAGGAAAUUCCUAAAAAAAAUUCUAAAUGAAAAAUAUUAUUGCGUUGACUUAAGAGUGAAAUUUGGGGUGACUUAUGAUCUUGCAUGUGAACUUGAGUGAAAUUUGGGUUCUGUGAAAUUCCUGUUGAAAAUAUGAGUUUUAGAAUGUUAACAAGUCCAAAAUGUGAUUUAUCAUGCAUAGGGAUGAAUGGUUUGUAUGAUUUAAGUGUUUUUUGUAAAAUUUGGGGUAUGAGGUUGUGUGUUUCUAUGUGAAAAACAAGUCCCCUAGGCGGUUUUCUACAAAAACUAAGUAAAAUUACUUUUCGUUGCUUUGGAACAAACUCAUGUUUGUGUUUCAAUGUUGUUUUUUCAAGUAUUAGGUUAGGUUACAGGGUGAACUUGGUGAUUUUGAAGUCAAAUUGCAUAUGAAUCGAUCAAUGUGUACUUUCUUGAUCAUGGAGAGUGUUGGUGCAGAAAUGUGUUUCUAUUGUGUGUCAAAUGCCUCUCGCAAGUUUUAAAUGAUGCAAAGAGAGAGAGUUUGGGGGCUUAAAAUGUAAGAAGAGUGAGAGAUGCAAAUUUUAGGGUGUUGAGUUGUUAAUUUACAUGGAAAAUACAUAUGAAAGUGAAUCUAGAGUGUCAAAUGUGGAUCUUAUGGAAAUUGUGCUUCAAUUCAUGAUUUUAGACUUCAAACAAGUUUUUUUUAUGGUGAGUAGUUGGUUUGAUCCUUUGAAAGGCAUUGAAAAUGAAUAAAGCAAAAUUGGGACACCAACUUGUGGAAAUAACAUGAAUUUUCUUUGGAUUGGAUAUGAAAUGGAUUUUGUGAUUUUUUUUAAGCUAACAAGUUGAAUUUAUGCUUAUCACAAGUCCAAAAUGAGGUGUGCCAUGUUUCCUAAUGGAUGGAAGGCAAGGAAGGUGAGAAAUUUAAGUUUUAGGUAUGUCACUUGUGUAGAAUUUUGUAAAGUUCGCUAAAUGUUCUAUUCUUGUCUGCAUACUUAUGAAGAUUUCUGCAUAAUUCGAUUAGCAAGCUUAGGAUGUACUUAGCGAGCAUCAAAUUGAUCACCAGGGUGUGCACACUGUAAAUUUAGCUCAGCAGAAUUUUGUAUCGUUAAGCGAGAUAGAGGUGAAAAAAAGAGUGCCACACUCUUCCUGUAUUAUUUCUGCUGAGCGAAAUUUCACUUCGCUAAGCGAAAUUCGUUUUAAAAGUCUCAAUAAAAUACCAAAGACACAUUCACUGGUCAUUCCACCCACAAUACCCAUGAUCACUUUUCUUCUCACUCACCCAAACCCACGACCUCUUCUCUCAAAUAUCUUCAUUCCACUCGGAUAUCUCCUUCCAUCAAUUUUCUCUCACUCUAUUCCUCAAUCUUCUCUCAUUGAUUUAGUCAUUUAUGGCAUGUAAAUUUAGGGAUUCCAUCAAUUUUCUCUCACUCUAUUCCUCAAUCUUCUCUCAUUGAUUUAGUCAUUUAUGGCAUGUAAAUUUAGGGAUGCUUGAAAUUCAGAAUUGUAACUGAUAAUUAGGCUCUAAAUUCAUGAUUCUUUCUUGUUAGUCUACAGUUCUCAAACCAUUUCAUGAAGACUAGGACUGUGAUUUGACAUGUGAAUCUUAGGCAUGCGAAAUUGAGAAUUUUUGUCUUUAUUGGGUCUUUAAUUUGAAAAGAAGGAUAUAUUUUGGUUGUGGCUCAUCACCCACAAUGUUCUACUAAAGGUGUUAUUCAAGCAUAUAUUUUGAACACGAUAUGUUGAUUUAAUCCCAAGACUAUGGUUUGUUGAUUUAUCCAGGUAGUUGUUACUGUUGAAUUAUUAUGAAUACUUAUGUUUUAUGUGAACCCUAUGCCUUUGCAUUUGGAUGUGAAACAGUUUGUAAAGAAAUUAUAUUAAAAAAUUUGUUGAGUUGUGCCGGUAUAAAAUUGUGGUGGAGCCAUUUUGAAUGACCUGAGGAUAGGCCAUUUCCAGAGAAGGGAGAGAGUUGCUGGACAUAAAGAUGAAUAUGAGGAGUGAUGAGCUGACAUACUCAACGAGUGAUCUUUCAGUAUUCUGUUAUUUAUACUUUCAGUAUCUUAUUUAGGUUUUAGUCGUUAUUGGUUUGAACUUGGUAUUUUGUGUUAUUUUGUUGUGUUCUUAAAUGUAGCACAUGCUUGGAUAUUUGAUAAGAAGUUUGUUUUGUUCAUUGUGCUGAAUUGCUAUGAAAUUCUAAGUUGAGCAUGAUGGUGUUUUUAAAAGUUCAUAGUUCAUUGCGUUUGUACGCACUUUGUGCCAUUAUAUGAUAUGAAUGCAUCAUUCACAUGAAUGUCAUAGGCUCAUGU